rnacentral:lncRNA from 1 species
CUCGACACGACUAUAAGUGAUGUUAACAGUUCCUCAGGACUUCUCUUCAUAUUUGUUUGAGAAGAGGUUAGCUGAGCUCAGAACACAAGGAAUCUGUCAGAUCAAAGCUAGAUUUCAUGUUUCUGUUGCUAGUGAGACUAAAGUAAGCAAUGUCCUCCUAAUAAUCAAGGAACAGUAAAUGCUGUUGUAUACAGUUUCUUUGUCAGGAGUUAGAUGUAGUCCUCAGAAAUUUGCCAGUUCAAUCCCUCACAUGGAGUUUUCCUAUGAAAAAGUUAGAACCGAUGUUUUAGGACUGCUCAGACUUACUGUGUAUUUUUCUUCCUGUAAGACUUGAAUUGAAUGUGAAACUGCAGAGAGUUUUGAGGAGGACUUGGAGAAGAAUGGAAAGAAGGCUACAGUAGAAAGACAACUUCAGAAAGCAGGCCAAUACUUACUGUACCUGAAAACAAAUCAGACUAACAUGGGAAUCCGUAUUCACAUUACUAAUUCUGCAUUGUUUCCCUCCAGAAGCUGUUUCUACAUAAACUUUACCAUACUUGAUGUUGGAAUAAUAAUAGCAUGCAUUAGUUUUAUCAUCAUUAUUAACAUCUAAGUUACAUAAUCUUGAAAAAGCAUGCUCAUUUUAGAUAUCAUUAUCUACUAUAAAAGUUCUUCUCCCAAAACUUGAUUCUCAAAACUACAGUGAAAAACCUUACAUUUCUUAACUGGCAGAAACCAUAGUUGCACUUAAAAUUAUUCUGAUAAUGCUAGAUUUUCUGUUUGGUUCUGAGGAGAAAAGAAAUACAAUAUCAGUUUUUCACAGAGGCUUAUUUAAAUGGAAAGGAAAAAAAAAAAGAUGACUUAAUACAAUCAUAAGGAACACAAAAAGUUAUUCAUCCUGAGCAACAAGCCUGACAUCAAUUAAAAUUGAGAUAAACAAUUAGUAAAUAUAUAUAUAUAUAAACAUAUUGUCAUCUGAGAUGUUAAGAACAUGCUAUGCCUUUAAUAUAGGCCUUCCCCACCCCUUAAAGUACAGCUUCAUAUCUCUGUCCUUCCAAUCUAUCUCAGUGGUACAAUAGCUUCCUUAUCUGAAAGCAGAAAAGGGAAAUGGAUGAAACCACAUCCAUACAAAGCAAACAGGGAGCUGACAUUUAUCUUAGUUCUUAUAAGAAGAAAAAUCCUUACUUUUUUCAGUCUACAAAGUAGGAUCUAUUUGUGGCAAAGAAGACCUUGUGUCCUAUUAUGUCUUUGAACUAACAAUAACCUGGGUCACUAUCUCAGCACCAAGCACAGAGAAACUUAUUCAGUCACAUAGAUUACUAGCAACAUCUGCUUUACUAAAAGCACCUGAGAUGCUUCACUCACUUCAGUAGCAUCAGUCAGUUAUGCCUUUGAGUCAUGAACACAAACAAGCAGCAAAAGCAAUACCAUGACCUAAAAAAAGGUCUGUAAAACUGCAUAUACCAAGUACUUGCUUACCUCAAAGCAGGCUAUAAACAACAUCUACUGCUUUUACAUAAACUUCAACUCUCCUUACUAUAGCACAGCUACCACUAGGAAAGAACAGCAUAGCAUAGCUUGUUCGAGUUCUACUCACACUCUUGAGCAUUAACAGAAGAUAAGCAGACAGCAUAGAUGAUGAAACAUUCAACAAAGGUAGAAGUUAUGCUGAAGAUAUCACACUCCUACAACUUUUAAAAUGAAAGCACUUUAAAGUAUUAGCAUGACCAUAAAUGAACGUUAUGUUAAUGAAGCAACUUUCCUCAAUUGCAUUUAAAACAGGUGCCAUAUACUCUACACACCAAUGUUUAUACAAGUCAAUUAAUACCUAGAAAUUAAAAAAGUAAAACACUACCUUACUGCAUCCUUAUAGCAUCCUUCUCCCUUAAAAACAAUAACAAAAAAUAAGAAGUAACCAAUGAGGCUUACCACCUUAUAUAGGCACCUUAGCCUACCUGAUGAGAAGAAAAGGGACAGGUGAGAGAAAUCAAUUCAGCUGUGCCUCGUUGGCAUUCCUCAUUGAGAGCAGGUGGCAAAUUAUUACAAAUGAAAGGCUAUUAUAAAAAGGUACCCUUAGUGGCCUCUAAGGAGCUUAUGGAGUUGAGAAGUUUUGUGGCCUCAGUGAUACCCACCAGCCAUAGGAACCAGAUAAUAUUUCCACUUCAUACAUGGAGAACUGAGGCACAGUGAAGUUUAAAAAAAAAAGUCAUGGAAGGCACCCAAGAAGCACAUGACAGAAGCUGGAAGGCAAUCAAGUAUGCUGAGAACCAGUCAUCUGCUUUAUGGACAAUGGUUCUCCUCUAAACUGGAAGGAUUUUCUUUUAUUAGCAAUGAAGGUCAAGCAAAACAAGAGGUAUUUAAGCUCUUAGCCCCAACUAGCUGAGAAAGAAUGCAAAAUCCUGCACUUCCUGAAAUGUAGAUGUCAAAUCUUUUAGAAUUUUACUAAAAAAAAAUCUUGAUGUAAUAAAAAGUGAAGAUAAGGAAAUACUACUAUGAAACUACUUUUAACUGGUAACAAACCCCUUUAAAGAGUGUGUAAGCUCUAUAAUGCUAACCUGAAAAGACCUGGAAGGAAUGUAACUCAGUUUUUAUGAGAAGUACUUUAGCCCUAUGAUUACAGACUCUUGUUAUUCUUUUUUUCUCCAUGUGUGUUGUGGUCCCAAAGCUACAAUGUACACUGGAAGGGAAAGGAUCCUAUUUACAGGACAGGUGUCCUGAACUACAUGCUUAUAAGCAGUCGUUGAAUAAAGCUCUUGAUCUUGGCUGUCAUGCUUCUCCUUUGAAUCUACAAACCAGAGAAUGUGCCUUAUGUUGAGACUGUUUUUGCAAAACGUCAGAACUCCCACUUUGGGCAUCAAAAACCAGACUUGUCUGUUGGACUGAAAAUAUAAAUUUUUUCCAUUAUAUGCUUGUGGUCUGACCUUGUGCCAGUAGAUCACAGCAAGGGUUGUUUCAUCCACAGCGUGUCCCAGUUUUCCUGUCCUUUUCAUGUGACUUGAGGGUAGAGUAUUCCUGAGGGCUGCUAGCCCAUGUUCCUUGUAGCCAUGCGGGGAACAUUCAGGAGGCUGACAUUACUGAUGUCAUCCAUCAUGCACGCUAGAUUUGUAUGCAUGGUAGCUUGAACCAGGCUACUCUACUUAUUUGUCUGCACAAAGAAGUCAUGUAAAGUCAGGUGCUUGUUCAGAGUGCACCUUGAUACCUGUGCUGCUGCAGGAAUGAAAAGUCAGUUUCCAGUAAAGUUUCUAUUUGUCUGGAUGUGAAUAUUCUGGUGUUGACAACCUGACUGGAAGAUUCUGCAGAGUUUUUUUUCAUGGUUUGGCCUUAAAUGGUGAAAGAAUGAGAUUCAUACAGAAGGAAAUGCUUAUUUUAAGAUAAGAAAUGCUUGUUUGCUCUUGUACUGUGAGUGAGUGUUGGUUUUUCCUGUGUCAGUCCUGGUGAUUUUCAAAGGCAACUGGCUAACAACCAUGACCAUAAAGAACACAUGAUGUCUGUGCCCUGAGAAAAAGCUAAGAAAGCUGAGAUGUUUCCUUCUCAUUACUGGGAUUAAAGUUGAUUACUUAUUAUAUUUGGGGCUUUUAGCCCUUUCCUGUAACAGAGAGGAGGGAAGAGUUCUGCUACUCUAGGAAGCUACAAGAUUAUGGAUAAAUGUGUAUUUAAUUUCUGAAGGCAAGAGGAUGUCAUUUCUAAAACUGUUUGCUUGUGUGGCAGGACUUAUUUGUGCUGUUAUGGCCUACAUACAACACUGCCAAAACUGAAGAAAUGUUUUCAAAUAGACUCAGUUUGCAACAUAGCUGAUUGUCUGGCUGUGCUGUGGCCAACCGGAAGUGUUCUGAUUAACACCAGCAUGCCUUGGACAGGAAGGGGAGAAUAGGGCUGCUGUGUAGUGUUCCAUCCUGGAAAUACAAGCUGAUAUUUGUGAGUUACUGACUGAAAAGGUUUGUGAUACUUUCCAAGUCAAACUGACCUAGCGUCCAAUUAGAGUUACUUCUGUGGUUACAUGAGUUUGCUACCAAUUAAUUGUUUUUUUAAUUGUAGAAAGCAGGGCUAUUCUGGUCAUUUUAGGAGUAAGUUAUUCUUUACAAUUCUGGUAUUGUUCUCUAUAAGCCUUUAUUUUUCCAAUUACAUUUUAAUUGGAAAAUUUAUACUUAACAGUGAUUUUUAGAAGUUUUGUUUGGAUGUUGAGUAAAAGUUGCAUCUUGUUUUCCAAGUGAUUAGACCAUAUCCAUCUCUAAUUAAGAAAAAUCUCCUUCAUAUAUGAAAGUGCUGCUCUGACAAUAGUGUUUCCCAUUUUAUUUUGUUGGCCCACAACUUCAGAGGUGGAUGUUGGUGGUAUGGCAGUGGAGGUUGAGCCUUUCAGCUAGUAUUCCAUUACAUUUUGUUGCCAUGCAACAGAUGGCAGCACUGGGGCAGUCUGACAAAAUGGCAUCAGACAUGGAAGUGUGUAUGAAGUAAAAGUGUGUCACUGAAUUACACCACGUGGAAAAAAUGGCAUCCAUUGACAUCAGCAAUGUUUUCUGAACAGUGAUGGAGACCAGACAGUGGAUGUGAGUUCAGUGAAGUGGUAGGUGGUGUGUUUCAAUGAUGGUGACAGUGUAUCACCUACACUGGUAUGAAUCUUUAUGAGCAUGGUAUCCAGGUUUUGUUUAUGGCUGACAAAAAUACACAAUUCAUGGUGGUGGCUCUGAAACGGUGUUUUGUAGCUGAGAAUUUCCUUUGUUAAUUGGUGUUAUGGUACUCUUUGUAUCUGUUGCAGUUUCCAUGGAAAGAAAUAGGAGGCAUUACUUUCAAAGUGAUCUGUAUGUUUAUAUGUAUAAAUUUAUAACUGCUUUUGAGCAGCUACUACUAUGUAGAAUUAGAAGGCAGAAUACCAAAGGAAGUGGUUAUGAUGCAGGAGGGUGCCAGUGAGACUUCAGUUUUUGAAGAAAACUUCAUCAGGAGGUUGGGAUCCAUUGGAAAAAGGGGAAGUAAUUUAGGUAGAAAACCUGUUUGAGGAAGAAGCUUUUUUUGCUGAACUGAUUUUGAAAAAGGAGGGGGGGAAAUGGAAUGAAUGAGGAGUCAACUACUCUUUAGGUGUUUAGUGAUGAAAUUGGAAGGUAACUGGAGAUAAAAUUAGUGAGGGGCAUUAAAGGUGACAAUAGAGAUAUUAUAAAAAUUCUUGUAGCAGAAGGGAGUAAAUGUGAUUCUUUCUCAGCUUGCAGGGUUGUAUGGAAACUGAGUCAUGGCCUGAACCACUGAUUGAGCACCUGGGGAAAAGACCUGGGCAGUCCUGGGAGCACAGGUGAAGGCAGUUCAUUUGUGUGACUGGAAGGGCUGGAGCCUGGCUGCGCCUCUCUUAGACCUCAUUUAAGGGCUGACUGCCACUGGAAAGGGAUCUCUUUCUGGAGAUCCCUCCUUGGUGAGGCUUUCCUCUGUGAACCUGGAAUCUUCUGAUAUGGAAGCUCCCCACCACAAUACCAGUAAAUGUUUUUGUGCUGGUAGUACUGGAAGCAGUAACACAAACCAAGAUCAGAUGUUUUCCAGCACUUGACUUUAAAGACUGCUGAUACAUUGCCUGGACAGGCAGAUCACAUCUUGGAAACUGUUCUUCAUGCCUGUUAAGUAACAGAUUUGUAUGUUGUAAGUAUAUCCAUGUUGUAAUGAUCUUACUCUUACGCUUCAUUAUGAUGUUCUUGGUGAUGGAAUUCAGUGCAUUUUAGAUAUUAAUCUAACAUGGUUAAAAAAGAUUCCUCUGCGAUGAGAUUUUGCAUCUUCCAUUUGUGCUGGCCUGCAUGUCUGUCAUAAGAAUGAUUUCUGAAGCCUCACUUAUGUCACUUGCCAAUGUAUGGAUUUUGACAAGUAUGGGAGGGACUCGGGAGGUAUCAGAAACAUGGCAAUGUACUAACCCCGUUACUGAUUGUGCAGUGUUCUUAAAUUUAUAUUAAUGAGAUUAUUGUAGAUUAUCUUCCCUGUAGAUUAGGGAAACAUCUUCAGGGCGGGGAGAGCAGUUAGGCUGUCUCUGUGAGAUAUGAGUAAAGCUGACUUCCUACAGCUCCAGAUCAGAACAGAGGCUUUUCUGAUCUUCAGGUGCCUAUCAGACCAUAGAGGUAGUAUUUCCAUUUCCAUUAAAACUAUAAUUGUUACUGACAUGCCUGAUUCUUUCUGUCAACGGGUGUAUCAUAGGUAGGAUCUAGCCACACGCCACAGGAGUGUUUGUUCUACUAAUAUUUUGUUUCUAGGUUUAAACACUAAUGGCAAAACAUGUUUAUGUCCUGCUGUCUUUAUAUGAACUUGAAAAUAUAUUACCAAAGGUGUUACAACCUUUAUGAAAUACUCAGAUGUAUCAUUACUACACUUACACCGCCCUUGUCCCUCCCUGCAUUUCAGCUGCACUAGUGAUGGUGGGAAAAACCAUAUGCUGGGAGGACUUAAGUGCUUUUGGCCAUUUGGUGGCUCCAGUUCUUACUCCAGAAGGAGGGAAUAUGGUUUGUGCUUUUGGUAGUGCUUAACUGUACUGACAGGAGAAGUUCAGCUGUAAGCACUUUUGAAUAUAAUUUAAUUUGCAACUUCUUGGCUUACCAUAAAAACAAGUCCAAUUCAGGGAUGGUGGAAUGGACCACCAUCCUCACCCCACAACUUGUGCUGUGCUACAGAGACGUACUGGGGAGCAAAUACUGACAACACUGAAUCCUUCAGGGACCUUGCAUACCCCAGUGAGUCAGACAUGUCUGUGCUGUAGUGAGAUGUGGAGGCAUCAGGCAGUGGGAACUGCCCACUUUGAUAUUCACUGCUGUCCUUCACGUGCUAGUAUCCACAUAAAUAUUUCCCACGGUUGAGAGAGAUAUUAAGACCUGUGGAGAAGAAGAGCAAGACAUUGUGGGAAAAUGUGUCAUGUCACAUACCUUGGCACAUCUGAGGUAAUACUUAUGCCUCAGAUAACAGCAACUAGCACAGGGGAAGUAGGUUGAGUAUGCAAAAUAUUCAUUGUACCCUGAGGUCCUCAAACACUCCUGUGAUUAGAUAUGCCCACUGUUGAAUCAAGGAGGGAUUAGAGAAAAGGUGUAGCUGACACAUCUACAAAAACUAAAUAAAUAAAUAAUAAUAAAAAAAUAGCCUACUGUGUUCAGAAGGAAAUAAGAAUAGCAAACUGAAACUCUUCCAAAAAAGACAGGUGUGUGAAUAAUUCCUGCCAAAGGAAGGUAUAGCGCUGUUUACAUUGCUGCAGUUAAGCAGAACUUCACUUCACCUCCCAGAGCACAAAUAUUGAGAUUUUUAAUGAAAGCAGCUGCAGGAUAUCUAAGAACAAGGAGGGUAUCUUUAGAUCUGAAUAUAUUGGCACAGGCUCUGUUAACCUUGUAAGUCAGGAAGUAAUGAAGUAAUUUAAAUGUUCUGGUUCUCUACUCAACAGCAGAGAUUAGCAAGACAACUGCCUUGGAACGUUUGGUCCAUGUCUAAUUCCCUCUGUGCUUUGCUGGUUUGAGAUAGAUGCAGAUACAUAAUAACUAUUGAGAGUCAAAAUGUCAAAAUAAUUUGGCAAAGCUUGUAUCCUACCUUUCUCCAAAUGGAGUAAAUCUGGAGGUGUAUUUGGUAUUAGCCUCAGUAGAGGCUAAUUGUAACAAGCUGGGUGUUACAAGCUGGAUAAGGGGCCUGGCUAAUCAAGCAUGGGGAAACUUCUUGUAGCAAAACCUCUCAGAAAAGCAGACUCUAGUGCAAGCUGGGGAUUUUUACCUAGUGAAUGCUAAAGGAAAUUGCAUUUGUAAAUGGUCAGAUGAGAUGAAUAUGUGCCGGCAGAAAAAUACAUUUUUAUGUGUCUCUACCUACUAUUUAUUGGGUAUAAUAUCCAAUUCAGUACUACAGGAAACAAUUCAUACAUUAAGAUGCUUGAGAUAAUUACUGACACCGUAGUGUCAGUACAAACAAACAAACAAAAAACUAGUAUCAAACACCAUAAGUGUUAGAGAGAUGAAAACCUACAGUAAGACUUCCAGACAUAUUGAGCUAGUCAGCAGUCUCCAUUAUCUGUAGUCCAAGAUCUGUGCCCUGCUUCAGCGGCACUUACACUGUUUCAGAUGCUUCCAAUUGUCCUGUACUGCUGAAUACAGAAAUCUUUCUAAGAAAAUGAGAAGAUAUGAAAAUAAAAAACAGUGAUUUGACUGAAAACAAAGAAUGUGGCAGGCAAGUUUAAGCCAGUUCUUUUGGAUCUUAAAUCAGUUGUCAGUGAUGGAAAGGAAAUGAAUGCAUUUUUGCUUACACAGAUUAUUAAGAGGAGUGGGAGAGAACUUGACAUGCCCCAAAAGCAGAUCCUACUACAGACUAAGGAAGACAAUUUAUUAUGCAAGAAGAACCAGUGGCUUAAUUCACUAUAGUAUGUCCUAUUUAUUUAUUUAAUAUACACCCCCGUCUUACAGGAAAUAGGUUGCGUCAGUUAAAUGAGCACUGAAAUCGUACAGCACUACUCCUAAGCACUACUGAAGGCAUGGCACAGGUGCUAUGCUACUUUGCUAUGGUAAAGCUGCCUAGGAUGAUUGAAGAGCAUGACCUGCAUUUCAUCAAAAUAUGAAGCAUCCAAAUUGCAUUUUUCUUAACCACUACAAGUUAAUAUAUGUUAUAUAAUUAAGAACUUGAGCUGAGUUGGAUGUUGAAACUCGAGGCUUUCAAAUUCAACAAAACUACUACCUUUAUGCUCUAUUUCUCUAUGCACUUUUAAAACUUUUGGACCAUUUCAUCUACUAUAUGAAUGGGCAUGAAAAUGUCAGAGAUAUGAAGCUUCUGCUCCUUUCAGGAGAAUCAGUGCAUAAAUAGUGGAAUAAGACCCAGAGAGAUGUCCCUGCUGAGGAAAACACUGCAGUACAAGGCAGAGUGUGAGUUGGAGGGUAAGCUGUGAGAAGAUGGCUAGGAAAAAUGCAAAUUCAAAAGGAAAAAAAAAUGAUUCAUCAGUUUUUUCUUCAUGGCAUGACUUGCUUUUUUUGUAUUUUAAAAUGUCACAGUUCAGAAAUUAUUGAAAAUUGUUACAAAGUUCUCUAUCUGAUAAUGUAGCUAUGUCAUCAUAUUAAAUUACCGUGCUGGCUUAGCAAGCUAAAAAGUAUUUUUGAAAGACUUGAGAUUUCAGAGAACCGUAAUUCACACUGUCUGAAAUACAGCUCAACUUCUUUUUGAAUGGAGCCUUUCUUACAAGAUUCCUGGCACUGCUUGGGUCCAGCUGGAUCAGAAAUAAUUAAAAGAAAAAAGAAAAAAACCCCAAACAAAUAGCCUCUCUCUGAAUUCAGUGUUUCUUCCCUGGCCACAGUGUCGAUUAGGAAGUCAGCAAGGAUGUGUAUGUGUGUGGGUAGCUAAGAUGGAUGUGAGAUUACUCCAAUUAUUACCAUAGAUUUAGCUGCCACCUUUGUGACAAGGUCUCUAAAAACCUAUUUCCAGCCUCUCCUACUUCAUAUAUAAUGCUAGAUGUAUCACUGGUGUCUUACUCAAUGAAAUAUCUUUUAUCUGCCUUCCUCUCUCAUCCCACCUGGGCUCUUGCCAGGUCACAUAGCUUUGUAAUAGCCCUGAUAUCAAUUCUGAGAGUCACACAAACUUGAAUCAUCCUAUGACUCGUUUUAAUCUUUAUUAUUGCAUGUUCUUUAUGUCAGUGUACAAGAAAUACAUUUAUAUAGUCCACAGAGCCUGGGGUAGCACAAGUAGUCAUGUUAGUUAAAGGUACUAAAUGCAUCCCAUCCUUUCACUUAUAUGUGAGAAUGAAGUGCAAUGAAAUUGCCAGUUUAUUGCUUUAUUUUUCAUAGGAUUGUAAAAUCAUAGAAUGGCUUGAGACGGAAGAGGCCUUACAGAUAUCUAGUUUCAGCACCCUGGCAUGGAGUCAGGGUCUCUCUUAAUGACAUCCCAUCCCUCAUGCAUAUCAGCUGCACCAUGAGGCUUGUCACGUGCAAACUUGCUGAGGGUACACUUGAUCCCACUGACAAUUUAACUGAUGAAGAUAUUAAACAGCAUUAGUUCCAGUACUGACCCCUGAGAGACAUGAGACACUGACCACCACUGUCUGGAUAUGAUCUUAAAACCAGUUCCUUAUUCAUGGAACAGUCCACCCAUCAAAUUCAUAUAUUUCCAGUCCGGAGAGAAGGAUGUUGUGAGAGACCAUGUCAAAGCUUUAACUGAAAUUCAGAUAGAUGACGUCCGUUGCCCUUCUCUUGUCCACUAUACACUUACUCCAUCACAGAAGGCCACUAGGUUGGUCAGGCAGUACUUGUCCUUGGUGAAGCCAUGAUGAUUGUCCCAUAUCAACUCCCUUUCUUCCAUCUGACUUAGCAUAGCUUCCAGGAAGAUCUGUUCCAUGAUGUUCCCUGGCACAGAGGUAAGACUGACAGGUCAGUAGUUCCCUGGAUUGUCCUUUCUAUUCUUCUUAAACUGGUGCAACAUUGCCUUUUUUCCAGUUACUGGGAACUUCAUCUGACUGUCAUGACUUUUCAAAUGUUGUUGAGAGUAUCUUGAUGACUACAUCAGCUGAAUUCCUCAGGGCUUUGGGACUCUCUUUCUGUAAAUGUAGAAAGAGAUAAACCCUAGUGUUUACAGUCAGCUGCAGGCUUUGAGUAGGGCUGGGGAACUAGACCUGGAUGCUGGGCUGUGAAUGGAGCCAUUCUUCUCUCACCCAUUCCCUGCAGCAGCAGGGACACAAAAGUGCACAGGAUGAGCAGGAACUGUGGGGUCAGGCACAGCACUUCUGGGUUAAGCUGCUUCUCUCCUUUUCUUGAGGCAUCUCUUCUAGAAGACUUGGUUUAGCCACGAGUUAAGCACAUGAGGAACACAUGACCUUCUCAAAGCAAAGAACCUUUAUUGUACAAUGAACUCAGUUAGCAACAUGGGAAAGUUGUUCUGAGAAUAAUUAAAGCCUCACUGUUCGUUCUAUAAUGGAACAAUGUUUGAAAGUGGGAAAAGAAUAUGAUAGGGAAUUGUUACUUUUUUAAACUAAGUUUUCCAGAACCUUUCCCAUGUCCUUGGCUUGAACAUUUACCACGGUAUAAUGUGAAGAUGCUUAGUUGUUCUCACAUACAGAGCCAAAGGAGGAAUUUGCUGUUUUCCUACCAGUUCAUUUUCUUCUGUGGGCAGAUACUCCACUCCCUUCAGUGAAUGAGAUGAGAAAUUAUGUUGUAGCAUAAUUUGAAAAGGCAAGGGAAAAUAUCAUGCUGUUUGUAUAAUCCUCUCUUACUCCUCUAAUGUGUCUGUAAGCAUCUGGAUGUCAUUUUCUGCCUGUCUACUGAUUAGACAGGUUGUGCAAAGGAGAAUGACUCUGUUGCUGUAAUAAUAUUGACCUGGAAAAUUGGUCUGUAGAGCUUCCGUAUGAAAUUCUAAAGCCUUCUUACAAACAUUAAUGAAAAGAAUUUCACAACCUUCUGUCAGACAGGUAAAUGUUACUGUCAUCAUUUGAUGUCUGCAAGAACCAGAAGAGAGAUUAUGUGAGUUGCUCAAAGUGAAGUGACAGGGCUGAGAACACUACCCGGCUCUCUGUGCCAUGAGCAGAUAAAAUGUAGCAAAUUCCCAAUCCAUUUAAUUUUACUAACCAAAAAAAAAAAAAAAAAAAAAAAAAAGGUUAGUGUAAAGAUGAGAAACAUGAAAAGCAAUUUAAUCUGAGUGGUGUUGCUGAUAAGUUGUAGUUUUUUUAGUAGGAAUUGUGUGAGAAUGUUUCAGAGAAGUCACAGCAGAUACAAUGGAUGAUGUGUCACUGUAGUGCCCCUGUCUAAGCAGAGGCGUUGAGACACUGGGCUUUUGUUUCUGCAUCCUGUGUUUAUCUUCUGGUGAAAGUUGGUGCUGCUCGGUGCAAGGGAGCACAACUCUGAAUGCUGCUUGAUCUUUACUGUUGUUGGAAGAGCCUUAAAAAGAAGCCUGUGUUCAGGAUUUGACUACUGACAAACACAGUGAGACUGGCACCAUCCUUAUUGGUAUUUAGGUGAAAAUAUAGCAAAAGAUGGUAGGUUCAUCCACGCCUGAACUUUCUUGUAGUAGAAUUAAGCAGUGAUUUCAAUUCCACGUGACAGCCACCAUAUUUUCUUGUUCUCACCUAGGAGGAAAUGGAUGAAGAUUCUGCAGAUGCUAAGCAACUUGUAUCUCAGGGGAUUAAAAUGACAGCCUGUUCCAUAAAUCCUUGAGGAUUAACAACACAUAUGUUCAAGCAUCAAAUCAUAGCAAAAGAAAAAGAGGAGCUUGUUUUUGUCUUGGAGCAUUAUCACAGCAGAUAGUAGAGACAUGGAAUGUAUGUAUAUUAAGUAAAGUUGGGAAAAUGUAUAAGAGUAGAAUAAAAUUUCACUGUUUUUACCUUCUUUUGUUAAUCAGGCCAUUGUAUUGUUGUAUAUUUAUACUAAAGAGUUCAAAUACUUGGAUUUUUAUUUCAGAAAGGGUUUGUGUUCUUGUCUGAGUUAAUGCUUGAGAACUAUAUUAUGGCAGUGUAUUGUACCAACAGCAGCUACGCUCCUGCUAAAUUUUAGGUGAUUACCUGUGUGAGCUAUUCCACUUAAAAAUAAUUAGAAAACAUUUCUCUUGAGUUGCAGCGCUGCAAAUAGAAAUCAGUUCACGUUAGUUUUGAAACAGUCUUGUCGUCAUAAAUUUCCUUUUAUGAUCUUGUCUUCAUCUAGUUCACUGUAUACCCCAAAGGUUAUUUUCUUUUCAACCCUUAACGGUUAACAUACCAUAGAAAAAAUAUGCAGGUAUUUGAGAGGGAUGGGAUAUUGUAUUGGAACUGUUAAACUGAAUUCAGCUGCUGACUUACAAGUGUCAGCAUUUUCUGAGUUUUGUAAAGAAGUGAACCAUACUGGGUGGAUGCCAAAAAGUACUCCUUUAUGUUCUCAUCAGUGGUGUACACGGAUGAAACUCUUCAGCUGUAAGAAUAGUUGUUUCAUUUUUAAUUUAGCUAAACCUCUGGGGAUUUGAAUUUUGGGCAAAACCUUGGUGUGGUGAUUUAUUUACUGGUUUGGCUGUUUGGGGUGUUGAGAAAUUCUUGUUCUCUCCAUUUUGAGUAUCAAUACUGAAGUACUUUGUCAAGAUCCUUGCACUUUGACUAUUUCUAUCUGAGAUUCAAAGCACUUCUAAAUGAUCAAGAUUAUAUCUAGACUGUGAGAGAAAUGUAUUCAUGGAACACCAACAUCCUGUUUUAUUGACUGUCCCAGUUGUGCAUCUCCCUGUUUUGACAUUCAAAACAUAGUGAUUAUUAUUACAGACAUGGUUCGCUUAUAAUGUAUGGUGAAAUAGAUCAUUAGAGUAAAUUAUAUAUUCUUCACUGUAUGUGGUCAGACAUCACUGUACCAGAGGGCUUUACAGGGUUACUGUCCCUUUUCUGCCUGUGCUGUGUUGCUGUACUGCUCCUUCUGCAAGCAGCUUCGUUAUUCCUGCUUGUGGAAACAACACUGUAUCAUCAAAAUCACUUUGUGAAACUAUCUACAUAUUUCUUAUGGAAAGUAUUGAAAAUCUCCAAGAACCAACUAAAGGCAUAAUGAAGGUUGGUAGAUUGCUGAAACUCAGUCUGAUUCUGUGAUGUAAGAUACAAUAUAGGUACAUAAACUUUGGUGAUGAAUAACUAAAUCUUUUCUUUCUUUACUUCUAGUUAGCAUGUAGGUCCUUUUUUCUGUCUAUAAUCUACUUAGCAUGACACUUUCCUUGCUGCACAAGCAUUUUUUUAAUUAUAAAGAUAUUAUUCCAAUUAAAUAUUACACAUCCCUUCAGUGAUUACUUCUUCCAGGUGGAAGAAUCAUUAAUGACAGCAUUACUAGGUGUGUAAGUUUUAGUAAUCAGGCUGGAAAUGCUUUUAUUGGGGGCUUGGUCCUGUGAAGUGUUGUAUACCUUGGAUUGCCAAGGACUCCAGAAGCAACAUGAGCACCUAAAAUGAAUGCUUUGUAGUUUUUAGACCUGGACUUUGCUUCCCUUCAUAAAUUAAUUGGCUUAGGGAUAGGUGAUAGCAUUGCAAGUCUCACACAUAGAGUGUGGCUAGAAUCCGGGGACUGUGUUGACUGGUAGUCCAUUUCAACAUGACAGAAACUUUGCUCUGCCAUAUAUCUCACACACUGAAACAACAAAAAAUAUUUUUCCAUUCACUUGUAUGAGUUUAGCAUCCAUAUGCCCACAGCCAAAGAAAUAUUUCUCCCUAAAACUAGUUUGUUUGUGUCAGAAUCUUUCGUAAGUGGACUCUGUUUUUGAGGACUCUAGUGUUUAACCACUCUGAUGCAACCAAAUCAUUACCUAAAUGUGAGCUUUCAUGGAGUCAUAUCCAUAUACACCAUAUAAAUGCUCUGACACAAACAAUUUUACUAAUUACCAUUCUUUCUAUAACCUUUCUGAAUCAAAAACUGUUUAGGCCAAUAUUUGGAGAAAGCUAUUUCCUGCAAAUAAUUUAUCUUUCUGAAAAUGUAUUAUUUCUUAUUUUUAAUUUGUGAAACAGAGACAGAAACUCUCCACUACAUAGACUUCUGAGUACCUUUCUGGCUCUCAAACCUAUAAGAAUGCUCUGCUGCAAUUACAGGAGUGGAUAUUCCUUUUUGUCUUCCUGUACAUCAGCACGUUGACAUUUCAUCGGUGACAUGCAUUUUCCGUGUGACUUUAUCUAAUUAUUAAAAUCUGCCUGCUUAUGACUAUUUCAGAGUUAUCUCCUCUCAGAACUAUUAUCAUGCCUUAAAAUGCUUGCAACUGUGAAAACUCAUAGCCAGAUGUUUCCUAAUGAACAGUGUGUGCUAUGGUCAGUUACACGUGAACUGCAUAAAUACGAACUUUCAAAACAAUAUGUGUUUUGUACUCGAGUUGCUCCAUGCUAGUGACUGUCCCCACCAAAAGCAGUUUCCUGGCAGAAGAUAAGGGUACAGAAGCUGUUAGAGCACAAAACCCAGCCCUCUUUCUGGGGUGUUUUUAUAUAUGUUUUUUUGCACACCACCCAAAAGUGCUCUGGGAAAUCAUAAAGAUGCAGAAAAGGAUCCUUGCACACAUUACGUAUGGAAUAUCAGUGCAAUUGUGGUGCCAUGAAUUCUGUAUGCCAGGUUUCAAUUUUGGGACUGAAUGAAGUCACUUGUCUAGAAGUCAGGCAAAUUUAUCAGGACAGAAAGAUACUUUUCUAGGACAGUGCUUUCUUGGUGGAGUAAAAUUGACUUUUGGAGGGACUGCAUAUAUUCAGGUACCGUUUGAUUAAUUAGAAACAUUUUUAUUCAGCAUCUCAACUAUCUAUUUCUGAAAAACUGAAGCAACCACGAGUGGCAAUUUCCAUCUAAGAGAUAUAUUUUGUUAGGCAGUUUGCAUUUUUGUGCUUUUUAGGUAUGCAUAAAUAUAUUACUAUUAAAGAAAAAGAACUUAAGAAUCCAUUUUGGCCAUCGUUAUUUAUGAUUUUGGUUUUUAUGAUUGUCUUAGCUUCUGUACUUAUCACAGAAGAAUAACAGUGUCAGUGUAAUACAGGCGAUGCUUCACUGAUGAUCAGUAUUUUUCUGUUAAUCAUUGAUUACCUUUUCUUAUAGGAAAAAGGAGAAAGCAUAUGCAGUGUUGGUACUGUGAUGUUGAAAAAAGUUACAAAAUGCUGUCUCAAGGCAUUCCAUUACAUGUACCAGAGUAUUAUGUACUUCUUUGGGUUCUUCCUAGAAUAUGGAGGCUCUGGAUUCUUUCUUUGCAUUAGAAAUGAAAGUCCUCUCUAUUCUGGGCAGAAUGUAACAAGGAAAACAUUAGAAAAGCAAUCAUUAUACUUCCAAACAUAUUAAGUAUGUAUGUAUUUGGAUAAAUAUAAUUCACUUUUGUAUUUUAUUACUUGCUUUCUAGUACAAAGAAGGCAAGGAAACUCAUGAAAAUGCAGACCAAAGAAGUAGCACAUGAGUGUGUCUGCAUGCACUGAUUUAUAUACUAACUUCAUUACACAGUGAUACAAAACAUCUAGACAGCAAUGUUUCCCUGCUUUGAUAUACUGUGCAUAGAAAAAUUUAGCUUUGUAUUAGAGAUCUUUUAUUCACUGCCAUCUGAAUCUUUUGCUUCCCUCAUUGUUCUGCUCAUCUCUAUUUAAAAUACUGUUCUGAUUCUGAUCUUAGAGCACUAUAAACCCCCACAUAAGUCUAACAACUUCAAAGAAGUUUCUUCUUUACAUAGUUAUAACUAAGAUAUGAAUCUGGCCUGUAGGCACAUUCAUUUUAUAGCAAGUUAAAACAUGUACCCUAACUAUUAGCAAGUCCUUAAGGUUAACAGACAUACACGUGCAGUUAGAAUAGAAUAGCAGCUACAGUGCUUUUUUUUUUCUUCAUCCAGAGCUAUUUUUGGUUCCUUUCCCUUUGACACACAUUCCUGGUAACAGUUAAAAGCAGGUCUUUUAGUACAGAAUUAAUGCUGAUAACUGAGCGCUUUAUCAAGUACGUUUCCUGCUUGGAUGCUAGUUGUUUUAUGUAGAGUAGAAAUGUGAGGUCUGAUUCCCAUUUUACUUGCAGUGAUAUAAAUCAUCAGAGAUGGGGUGCAAGAUUCUGCGCAGGAAAAUGAUUCUGUGGAUCCAUUCAUAUUUGUUGCUUGACUAUCAAAAUAAUGCGACAGAGAAACAGGGACUGCUCAUACCUUUGUGGACUCAGAAUGAUCCCUGUCCCUUUUUGUGUAAAGUCUGCUUCUAGGAAAAAGCUUCGCACAAGGUUGUUCACGGCUUUCCUCUCCUAAAAGACUGAAAGCUGAUGCUGCAGCACAUUGCAAUGACAGUGACAAUUGUAGCAGAGAGCACUGAUGGAGUUUGCCUUGACCUAGGUGGGGAAGGUAAGACCUACUGAACAAUGUCUGCUACCAUUGUCUGUGUGGACCGUCAUGUUGGAGUUGGAGGUCCUAUUUCUGUGUUGACAAGGCUGUAGCCCUUGCGGGUUGACAUGUACUUGGUAUCUGUGCUUUGUCUGUGGGCAGAACAUACCCCUAAGGUGAGAGGAGAUCUGGAUGACCUUGUCUUUCACAAACUGCUGUGGUGAGCCUUCAUCCCUAAGGGCUCAAUUUAUGUAAACUACCAAGUGCCUCUGAGUCUAAUUGAUUUCCUCUAGCAACUCCAAAAAGAUGUAAUAACAAUUUUUGGGGGUCAAUUUUGGGAUCCCUCUUCACACACGAACUGCAGUAUCCAGUAAAAUUUCCUGAGAUGCAUAUAAGCUAACUCCCCAGGUGUGAAUUUCUGGGUGCAGGUAACAGAAGGUUCUUAGUGGAAAGUCCCCGGGAUAUUGACUCAUUUCCUCUUUUUUCCAUUAGGGUCCAGAUUUUCUGACUUUCAGUGUGCAUAGCCAGGAAUACUUAUUUAAUUUAACAUUCCUGUGCCUGGGCAAAAUGCCAGGAGGAAAAGAAUUUGUUUUAUCAGUGGGAGGGGUUGGCAGAUGGUGGCACGGCUUUGGGCAUUUGCCAGUGGUUGACAAUAUCAUUUGUUUAUUUUUCUUUAACUGUGCACUCUGCCUACACAUGGGAUUAUGAUAAUGGGGGCAAAUAUAAAUGAAUAGUGAUGAAGGAGAUCAGCUUCUAAGAUCCCCAUUAGGAUGGAAGGGUGUUAAACUUACAGCCUACAGACAUCUGCCUUGACUCCAUGCAGCCUAUUAACCGCAUGCACACACAUUUUUUUAAAGUAUCAAACUCCUGCCCAGGAAGAGUUUCCCUUCAAGGCUAGUAUGAAGUAUUUAAGUUUAUAUCAGUGGGAUUUAAGCACAUGCUUGUUUCCUGAAGUAGGACUUUGCUAAGUUUCAUUCUUUUCAACUAAGUCUCUGGACUGCUGUGUAUUCUUCAGAGAGAAAAUGCAGCCAGAAAGUCAGGAUUUCCACUGAGAUGAUCUCCUUAAUCCAGUCACUGGAUUUCCAAGCAGGCUACAGUUGCAUUUGAAAAUGGCCAAAAAUAAAGGAAAAAGGUGUUAUUUUCAUAACGUAUGGUGGAAUAAAUGCUAUAAGUACGGUCACCAGUGAAUGAAAAACACUUGAUGUUAUUCAAGUUAUGUUUUGCCAAACAUAUACUUCUAAGUAAGAGUAAAGGUAUAGUAAGUAAAGAAUUUAAUAAAGAGCUUGUUCAUUUAAUAAGAACUAGACUAGUUAUAUACACAGUUCAAUAUGCAAAGGAAAAUCUCAUGUGGUAUGAGUAAAGAUCACGCAGUUGGGCUUUUAAGUCAUCAACUAGAUAUGGCAUCUAAAUCACAUACUUUAAGUAAAGAGAGGCCAGUUAUUUCUCCUGCUAUGACAUUGUUUGAAAUUGUUCCAGAGCUUGCAAGCUUAUGACACUCCAGGAAAUCAGCACACAUUAUAGUAGCACUUCACAGCUCAAUGUUGCCCAGAAUAUGGACUUGGGUCAAAACAGUCUCAUGCAGUGGUAGAGGUUUGGGGAAUGGUGGCUGGAAAGUUGCCUGACAGAAAAGGCCCUGGGGCUGCUGGCCAACAGCUGGCUGAACAUGAGCCAGCAGUGUGCCCAGGUGUGAAAGAAGGCCAACAGCAUCCAGCAUCUUGGCUUAUAUCGGAAACAGUGUGACCAGCAGGACUAGGGAAGAGAUCAUUCCUCUGUACUUGGCACUGGUGAGACCGCACUGUGAGUAUUGUGCUCAGUUUCGGGCCCCUCACUACAGAAGGGAUAUUGAGUUGCUGGAAUGCAUUAAGACAAAAGCAGUGAAGCUGGUAAAGAGCUAGUAAGCAAGAAUUAUGAGGAGUGGUUGAAAGAGCUGGGACUGUUUAAUCUGGAGGAGGCUGAAGGGAGGCCACACAGUUCUCUACAACUACUUGAAAGGAGGUUAUAGCAAGGUGGUCUCUUUCUUUAGGUGACAAAUGAUGGGACAUGAGACAAUGGCUUCGAGUUGAACCAGGGAAGGAUAGAUUAGAUAGUAAGAAGUUAUUCACGUAGAGAGUGGUCAAACAUUGGAAUGAGCUGGCCGGAGGAAUGGUUAUAUUUAAGAAAUGUGUGGAUAUGGAACUAAGAGACAUGGUUUAGGGGUGGACUUGUUAGCAUUCGGUGAUGGUUGGACUUGAUGAUCUUAAAGGUCUUUUCCAAUCUAAGUUCUUCUAUGACUCUUAUAUGGUGCAGCAGCCUCCUGGGAAAAAAAAAAAUCGUUGCUACUAGUGUUCAUUAAAAUGUCAUCAAUGCUUUCAUCUGAAAUACAGCUCCAUAAGUUAGCCACUUGCAUGUACUUUUUCCACUGUGCUUUCUUGUGUAAAGUUGAUUAUUAGAAAAGUUUGCAAAGAAUAAGCUUCACCCUAGCUUUUAAUAUGCAGAGACUCCUUUGUUUUUCUUUUGUAUGUGACAGGCAGUGCUUCAGUUUCAGAAACUUUAGGUGGAUUUCUUUUGAGCACAUGCUCAGAUCAUAAUUCCUAUAAUAAUCUAGCUGACGCACACAGUACAGUAUGCAGCUAGCAGUGUCUUGUGCAGCUAAACCUUGUGUUUCCUUCAUGGUGGUCAAUAUUCUAGAUUUAAGGGCCAAGUAUUCUGGUUGGAUUACACCUGUUGUUACAAAUUAUGUUCAAGUAAAUCAUGUGAUGCUCCAUCAUACAGUCAGGUGAUCGUUGUUCUGCAUCACUGGAGAUGUUAUACAACCACAGUGGCAGCCCAGCACUAAGAGAGCAGGGUACUUGUUCUGGAGUUCCAAAGAGGCAAUUGGCCAUCAGAAAGAAAAACAACUUAGUUAGAUGACUUCACACUAAACAUCUUGAGUCAAUUCAACAACUGAAAAUACUCUUUAUUCCAGAAAAAGGAUCUUAUAUAUAAUUUUCCCAUGAAAAACCACAGUUUUAUGGGAAAUGCAUUUGCCUUUGGUAUGUUGCUACAGUGAGUUGUCCUUGAUCACUUCUAAUCAUUUAAACAUUUUAGCUACGUGUGGUAUUAUUAUUUACUCUGACAUACAAACAAUACAGUACUGUGUCCUUUGCUCUGCUUUUUACCUGUGCUGGUCUCCUUUCCUUUUCUCUACGUCCAUUAGUUUGCAUUGGCCCUAAAAUGUUGACUAGACAAACAGAUCAUCUAACCUCACCCAGCCAGUCAUAUUUCAGCUAAUUACCUUGUGUGGUCCCAACCCCCAAGCAAUUUUCAUGUAAACAAGUUUCAGGAAUUGUAGAUAAUUCCCUUGCUGCUCUCAAGUUCAGACAGGUGUUUUCUUUGUUUUUGCGAAGGUUCUAUUCUGUGUCAUUAGUCUUUGUAAGUCAUUAUUUUUUGUUUUAACUGCUUUGAUCUAUUCACUAACUUCAAACUGGCCUUUCUAAGUAAAAGUUGACUCCUUUAUGUUUUCAUUGAUUGAUUUUUGUGUUAUAAUAAUGUUUGUAAACACAGCUUAGUUUCAUUCAGUUUUUCAUCUGUGCUCAAAUAAAUGAGAUUUCUACCACAGAUAAGACCCACAAAUCUUUCUUUCCCACUAGGAAAAGUACAGAUAAUCCUAUGGCAACAGCUGUCAGGUAAAAGCCCAGCCUAAAUCUCACUGAGGAUGCAUGUACUCCAGGGUGAGCUGGUCUGCAGCAGGCUCAGCUUCUGCAGGUUACAUUAUAGAGAAGAUUCAAAUGUUUCAGAAGAAUGAGAAAGGUGUCCAUUCCAAAUGCCAGCUUCCUCCCUGUGUGAGGGAGAGAAGUGAGUUCAGGUGAAGCAAAAUGUAGCCCCUGAAAUCUUCAUUCUUACUCUUACCUCCAACUUUUACCUUUCCAACCUUUCGUUUUCAGCUGUAGCUAGUCUUGGCUCAACUUUGGAAUUAGUACUUGUUUAUGGUAUCAGUGUGUACAAGCAUUCCUCAGUAUUCUCCAGCAGAAGCAGUUGGUCAUGAUCCUGACUUUUUAUAAGUAGUUCAAAGACUUCCACAAUCCUAGAGGAGAAGCAGGGUCUCUUGGUAUACAUAUCUUAUGAAGAAGAGUAAGCAAAUAUGCCGUCUAAAAAUGAUUUUAAAGGUCACAGCAAGUAACAGUAAAGUGCAGUAGUAUGUUGUGGUUACCAGUGAACUCUUCUCUCCUUACAUACUGAAAACUAAGGUGACAUGUUAGACUACUUCUAAAUUGAUUGGAUUUUGGGGUUUGAUUUGUCUAAAAUCCCUUUAAAAGAACUUUAAAAAAAAAAAAAAAGCUUCCAAAGGGAAGUUGUCAAACUAAAAUAUUUCUGAAUUUUAUUGCAUAUGGUGAGAAGCAUAGAGAAAAGAUACAAAAUCGCUGAGGGAAAUAAUGGUACUUAUCUAAAGCCUUUCAUCUCUGUAACUGGUCUGCACUGGUGUUCAUGAAGCUAUAUUAAUGUCAUUGUGAUCCUUGAAAUGAGCUAGGUGUUUUCUUCUGUUCAUAACAUGUAUUUUUUUAUUAUUAUUAUUUCCUAAGGAACGUUCUGUUAGAAGAAUAUCAUAAUAUAAUAUCAUAACUGAUAUUAGUAACACCUUCAUCAGUCACCAGUGGAAAAUCCAUGAAAUCCUUAACACAAAUUCUGUUGGUUUCAGGCAGGAGAACAGCACAGAUGCUGUAAGUUUCCAGGACCCAGCUGUCAAAUAGUGUGUGUAGAAAGCUAUGAUUUAGAAUUUCCUCUCUAAGGCUUCCCAGCAGUGAGCCUAAAUGCAGAAUGUGGGUUAGGGAGCCCACAUUCUCCCUGGGGAGAUGAAACAAACAUGCCCAGGAGCCAGAAAAGAAUCUUAUUUCUGUUCUCAUCUUAUUUACAGCCUGCUUUCAAACCAGCUGAGAUUUCCAUACUGUGAAACUUGGAUUCAGAUAAAAAUGACUUUGUGCUACUCUGAUCCUAAUUUUACUUCCAAGCUGUAGGGUUUUGUCCACCUCAGGGAAUAAUGCAAAAUAGAUGCAGGAUGAUUGUGGAAGAGUAUUUUUGCAACACUGUUGCCUUCAUGGUUGGAGAUUCUUGGUUUACUCAGUCGGCAAAUCAUUCGCGGCCUUCAUUGGAAUUUCUGCCUCUUAGAGCAAAGAUAAAUAAAUGAAAAAAUAUAUGUUUCCAAGAAACGGAAGUUGCAUAAACACGAUUUGACUUGACAAUAAAAUAGUGCUGACCUGACAGCGCCAUCAGGGCCUGAUGGACUAAAGCUUUAAUUCUCAAGAUCACAAGGCAGACCAGUGCAUAUAUUUCCAUCGCUGUCUUCAGCUUAGUUUCUAUGUGGAGGCAUUUACCUUGUCUUCUACUUCUAUCUCAGUGCUUUAUAGAGAAUGUUGGAGUAUGCUCUUACAUCCUUGCUGUGGAGUGUAGAGAGACAUUUUCCAAGUAAGCAUAAUAACUGCCUUCUCAAGGCAUAAUGCAGUGUACUGCCAGCACUGUCAGUAUAGGGGGAGUAGCUGUAGUGUUCCUACUGCUGUGAUGGUUGACAGAUAUGAGAAAGCACUCUUACUUUUCUGUGUCUUCUACCUACAUCACACAAAUGAACCAUUUCCCUCAACUUCUGUUUGUUAGUAAACUUAGAGAAAACACUGACAUAAAUUCAUUCAUGGUUAGGAUUUAAGUUAAUUCUCUUUCCUAGACUUCUGAACCAAUUAGGAUUUAGCUAACUGUUUAUUUUCCCCUCAACUUGCAGAUCUGGAAGCAGAGUAGAAGCAGACCCAGUUCAGUGUAAUCUGUAAUAUUACUUCCUUCCAUUUUCUCUCUUUUCCUGUGAAAUCUAGUUCCCCAGGGCCCACAAAUCUGGGACAAAUUGGCUGUUGAUAUUUUCCAAUUGUUUGUUGAUGGAAAAGGGUGUAAACUGAUCCAUGUAACUUGGAAAGUUUUAAAAUAUCUCUCCUAUGACAUACAAAGCCAUGCUUUGUCUUCAUGAAAUUAGAUUGUUCUCAUAAAGGCUUAACAAUACAGAGAAGUGUUAAAAAAAUGUGUUUUAUUAAUAUCAUAGUGUAGUAAUGUAAGGUCAUAGCAGCUGAGAAUUGCUUGAAUUUACUCCAGAUGUUGCUUAAAAAGCCCUGAUUUUUGACAGAUGUUUGAGAAUAAAAUAUAGAGCAUGGCGACAAAGGACUUUUGUAAAUGUUACUCUAUGUUACAAACUUCUCAUCGAGGUGCUAAGGCUCACUGAAGUUAUUUGGUGCAAUAGAGGAAAGUUUGUGCCCCUACUAAGGGAAGUGAGUUCAUCUGUAAUACCAGCUGCCAGAAAAUGCCACAUGGGAGAGAGAUGACAGCAAUCUGGAAAAUCACUCUGAUCAGACACUGUACUUUAAGAAGGAAAUAAAUUGCACUGUAUACAGAGCUGUAAGUAUCUGACCUUUGUGACCUUCACUGCCAACUGGUCUCUAAUUUAAAUGAACUGUGCUGCAAACGUCAUUGUUGAAAUAUUAUUUUGAUAAAAACAGAGCAAAAGGAGAUGGUUUAGAUUUAAGUUUGAAACAGGAGAAUUACAUAGUUUGCUAGAAAUCCAGAACUCUUUUUUUAUUCCUUUUGCUCUUCUUUUUUUUUUUAAUUGCAUGAAACCUGUAGAGCACCUUGCACCUGGCACUCCUGGAAUUAACGCUAUUAAAAUCUUUGCUUGUGCUUCUGACAAACAACUACUCUUCAUGCUGUACCCAAAGUCUCCAUUAAGAUUUACAACAACUGAAUUUAAAAUAGGAUUGUCUCUGCACUGAGGAAAACCAUUUGCAAAUAGCAUUUUAGUUUUCUUUCUCAACUAUUACUUUAAAAUUCUCAUUUAUGAAGCUGUUGGCAGGAGACAAAGUCUUAAGCUAAGUGCACAAUAGCAGUACAAACUUUGCUACUUGAGAAGUUCAAGGAGGUUAAGUUCUACUUGGUGAUGACUUUCCCCGCAAAUCUCAUUCUCAUGUUUUGAAUUUUCAGACUCUUCUCACUGUGUGGUCAAUGGAGCUGAAAGACAUGUUCUAGGUGAACGUGUCCUUACAUCUAAAUGUGUGUUUGAGUUUAUAUUCAACUACUGACUAUACAAGUCUAAUGUAUACCUUGUGCUGAAUCAGCCCGUUCCCUCCCCACCAGAUGUCCUGCACCCUUCUCUUGGAGAUAUUUUCUCUGCUUCCCAGUUACCAUGUAGCCCAAGUGUUUGUGCCUGGGUUGUUCCUGUGUACGUAAUAAAGACAGCUUCAGUUAGAGUUGAGAGGCAUUUCAGUGUCCUAAUUUAAACCAUCCUCACUAUGGUUGUCAGAGGAGGUGGCCACUCUUGUGAAAUAAAGACAAUUUCUCUUCCUCAGUUUCCUGUAGAAAGGAAGGACUGUGCUUGGAUGAGGUAAGCUGGAGCCUGAAACUUUCUGUUUGCUGACAGAAUGGAUAAGAAGUCAGAUGCAAUGUGAACUUCACGAAGGUCCGUCACAAACAAAGGCAGAUCAGUUAGAUUGUGAUUCAGAAAUGUGUUUAUGUAUGUCCUCUGCUUUGGACACUUGUCUGAUUCAAGUUUAAUUCUGAAACCUACCUGCGUUCUUAAAGCCAGGAGUAAUCUGGUGUGAGUGAAUCAGGGGAAUGGCUGUUUGUCCUGGUUUCAGUUGGGAGAGUUAAUUUUCUUCCUUGAGGCUGGUAUGGUGCUGUGUUUUGGAUUUAGGAUGAGAAUAAUGUUGAUAUCAAACCAACGUUUUGGCUGUUGCAGAACAGUGCUGCACAGAUCCAAGGAUGUUUCAGUUUCUCAGAGCUGGGGGUGCGCAAGAAGCUGAGAGGGACAGAGCCAGGACAGCUGACCCAGACUGAACAAAGAGAGAUCCCCUACCUUAUAAUGUCAUUGAACAGUAAAACGGGGAGUUGGCCAUGGGGUUGCCACUGACUGGGGACUGGCUGGGCAUCAGUUGGCAGGAGGUGAGCAAUUGCAUUGUGCAUCACUUGUUCUGUAUACUCUUCUUGUUAUCUUUUUUUCCUUUCCUAUUUUUUCUUAUUAAACUGUCCUUAUCCUCAACCCACAGGUUCUCAUGCUUCUACCUUUCUGAUACUCUCCCCUCAUCCCACUAGGAGGGAGAAGAGGGCAAAAGGUUGUGUGGUUCUGAGCUGGUUUAAACCACAGAAGUCCUUUUUGCACUGAGUGUGAGGUGUGAAAGACUGAGAUAAUAGCAGAUCUGACCAUAGUAUGUUAAAACAAAUUUGUUGUAAAAAUUAUGUUAGUUUAAUAUUUGCCGGUCACAUUGUUGAUUUAUUUUUUUCACAGUGUUGAUAUAUUUGUUGAUAUAGUUUCUGAUUUUCUUGAAUCUUUUCUUGUUGUUUAUCAUCUCCAGGGACUGGCCUAAGUUUGUUUACAAUUUUGCCAGUUUGUAUGUAGCAUGUGCUCAUAUUAGACUGACCAGGAACUUAAUCUGUUAUUUUCACUCACUUAAGGCUAUCAUUCUUGCACUUCAGGAGCCUUACAGUGAGAAUUAUUAAAAAAUACAGUGUUUACUCCAGGCACAUUAAAAUAGUUUUCAAAAAUUUUUGAAUACUCUUGGGAUAUUCACACUAGUGUGGUCCUGUUGCUAUGUCUUGUGCCACGUGCUUCAAUUUUUAUCUGUUGUUAAGCAGCUAUUUAAGAAUGCUACCCUGAGAUCUUCACUGAAACAGGAUGGUUAUGGGUGGCAAGGUGUGUAGGAGAAUAUAGGCAGGUAUUUAUCAGAGUUGUCAUCUUUGAUGGUUUUGGGAUUCAACUCUCAACAAGUAGAGAAUUCUAAAAAAAAAAGGUAUGCCCUCAUUCUGGCAAUGCCAGUGAUUUACAGCCCACUGCACUGUGCUGGAGUCUGGCUUGGACCUAUCAAGCAUUAUUCAACACUAUUCAGCACCUCCAAAAGGAAGAAAACAACCCUGGAUCUGACCCAACCUCUGCAACAGGCCCAGCUGCUGAACCAGAAAACCAACUCAUGCUGACAUCAUAUAUCCCUAUAUUCAAGAAGAAACAAGGGAACUGAAAGAUAAUUUGUUAAGGAAGACAAGAAACUUCUAAGUAGAAAGGGAAGGAAGAAAACAUGGACAAGGCAGGCUGUGCUGAAGAAAGGCCAUACAAGAAAGGGAGGAAGAAGCAGUAAAUGUGGCAGUAUUCACCCAAUCCCUAUCUCUGUGUGAGCUGAAACAUAUGCAAAAAGAUUCAGCCCUCCUCCAGGUGUGCACAUUGUCACCUGGCUGCUUUGAUGCUUGGAUAAUGGGGCUGAUAGCCUGGAAUUAGAGGGCAUGGAAGUGAAAGAUCUGGGAUCCCUCUCUAUGGAAAUGAGCAUUGACAAAGCAAUUAUAAAAAGAGGCACAACCCCUCAGACUCUUGAGGUGACUCUUGUUAUCUGUGAAAAAGGAUAUCCCUACAAGGAAGAUGUUCUAUGUAAACCAGACAACCAUGGAGAAAGAUAUCCGGUACCUGAGGGAAUUAGGCACUCUGGAGGUGAUGUGUUAUGACCUGGACAGUGAGCAUUUAUCACAAGAUCCAGAUAGUGUCAAAAGCAUUUGAUGCAUGUGGAAUAAAUUUGUAUAGAGGACAGUGUCGUCCUGUGCCAUCACACUGUCUGUAAUGAUCUGGAAAAAGAGAGAGGAACUGACAGCGCAUGAAUUGGCUAGCCAACUCCAUCAGUAUGAAGAAAGUCUCUCUCUUCCUCCUUAUGGGCCUGCAUCUCGACUGCUGAGAAACUGGUUCAGGAACUCAAAGAGAGAGAAUGUCUUUUCUCCCAUCUGUACAGAGCAGAAUCUCAGCUACUAGGAGUAAACAUUCUUCUCAAGAGAGCUGCAACCAGAUGAGGUGAACACUACCUCAUAUCUGCUAUUGAUCUGUGGAUGACUUUAGGCAAAUCGGGCAAUGUUUAUGACUUUCUUUACUCUCUGAGACUCUUUUAGUCAACUGCGAAUUUCCUGGAGCUCCUUGGAUGAAAGUCUAUGUAAGUACAAAAUGAAAUAUUGUAUUGUGAUAUAAUUCAGUGAGAGGAAAAUAGUUCUUCUGCUUAACUUUUUGUGAUAUAUUAAACCUUUUUCUUUUUGAAAUUUGAAUUUUAUUAAAGUCAGUGAGAUCUCAAAGUACUUUUUGUAAUUUGAUCUUUGAAACAUCUUUUAAUAACAGAAAUAACAUUCUGCUUCUGCUAUAAAAGGAUUGUUUUCAACCCCUGUUUAAAUGAAUCCUGUGAUGUACCAUGUCAGACAGUCAGGUGAUGGCUGUUUUUCGUCACUGAAGAUGCUGUAUAACCACAGUGCUGCUCAUGAUUUUAACACCAUGAUACAAGGGAUGAACAAGCAUCUUUUUCUUGAUCUAAAACACAUGACAUAGUGUGGUACAGAGGUUCAUUUCAACUUCUUGCAUGACACUUUUGAACCUGUUUCCACAUAUUUAUUGGCAGCAUUGAUUUUGACCUCUGCUUGUACUGCCAAAGCAUUUUAGGACAAAAACAGUGAGCGAAAAUGUUAACUUUUCACUUGAACUUAGAUCACAUUCUAUUUUACAUCAAGUGACAGGGUUAAAUAAACUUCAUAGUGUUACUGAGCUCAGUGUGACAAAAUGACAUUUGAGAUAAAACUGAAUACUGAUAAAAUCAUGAGAAGUAUCUCAUUUGUACUGUCUGAUUUAUGAAAGAGUAAAUUCUUUUGAUUUUUCUCUUUUCUUCCUCUUUGGAAUAGUAUUUCUCACACAUUUCCAGAAAUGUAGAAUGUAAUCCAAAUGGCCCUCUUUUUCACUAUUUAUACAUAUGUCUUACAUAUAUGAGUGGGGUCUACCUGGGGACUAACUUUGACAUUAUCACAUUCCUGAAGAAGAGUGGCUACUGGGAGACACAGAAGUGUCAGAUGCCAAGGAGUGAGCAUUGCAUGCUAACAGCCCCAGCAUCAUACUGUGUAUUAUUAUGUAUUAUAACUUGCCUCUGCAGUAUAUAUGUUUUUGUUUACCCCCUUAGCCUUUCUCCUUUUCAACAUGUUGUGCCUUCCAGCACCUUUGUCCUUGAGUUCCUCCAUCCCUCUCUCUCUCUCUCUCUCUUCCUGGCAGUCAGACCACCCUACUGCAGCUUUGGCCAUCCCUCUAACCUUCAAUUUCUGUCCUGAAAUACAUGAAUGCUGAAAGGCCAUUAUCAUCUCCAGUGUACUGCAAAUGAAAACAAAACAAUCAUGCCACCUUCUUUGGACAUCUCUGCCUGCAGGAAAAUAUGAUUCCUACACCACAAGGCUGGUCAGGUGCCUGCAGUUUGUUGGAUCUCUAAGUACAAUUAGAAGACAAACUCCUUGAAGCACAGCCUAACCCUAGGCUAUCACUUAUAUUAUAGCCUGAGUGUGCCAUCCGCACAAAGCUCAUAGCAGCAGGCAUAAUACUAGCCCACAAAAAUUAAGAACUGUUAUGUUGUUAAACUCUUUCCAAGGUGAAGGUUUCUAUAGUAAAGCGUGUAUGGAAUUCUGUGUCAUACUGAAGGAAGAGGAAUAAGUCAUGUUAAAGAGUUACUAAUGUGUAUGGAGAAAAUUAUUUAAAAAUAAAUAAAAUAAAUAAAUAAAAUUAUUUACAAAUAACUUUAUCCAGGUCCUCAAAUUUGGGCAUAGACAGAAUAUAUAUUGUCCCAAUAGAUUCAGUGGAACAUUUUGGCUGGGUCACAUUCUUUUUCUUUCCUACAGGUGUGUAAAUAAUCAGUUAUCUGAACAGUUUAAAAAGAUGAAUCCUUUUGAAGACUUCUGGAUAUGUUUACUGCAUCCAGACUAUGCAAGCACUGUCUGGUUAGAAAUGCUGUCGCUUGUAUAGACCUCCUUAAAAAGGUCUGCCAAGUCACCACAGAGGCCAUCAGGAAGACUGUGGUGAUUAUUGCCGUCUCCUAUUUCAUGCAAACUCUGUAGCACAGUCAAAACUGCAAAAGCAAUACAUCACUUUCAGAAUGAAACAGCAACAAUAAAAAAUCUCAACAGAUUUGGGAGCUUUUAAUAACAGUUCUUUUCCAGGUAUCAGAAAACUGAAGAGUUAAAUAGAGAGAAUAAAUAGACGUGAAUUUCAUAAAGAUACUAACCAAGAGUAGCGAAAGAUGGAUGUUUCCCAAAAGGUUCAGAGGGUUCAUUUAGUUCAGAUGAUAACUCAUAAUAACUUGGCUAUUUAUCCACAGCUAUCUUUUGAAGUGAGGAAUGUUUUAUCUAAUGCUAUUUGUAUUAAAAUCAGUGAGAGAUCAUUCGCUGAUCUUCUUUACAAAAACUUUUUGUGUGCCAGUACUAUGCCUGACUUCAGCAUUUGAAAAAGAGACGUACAUAGCAAAUGUCAUAGUCAAUACUCACAACUCUGACUAAAUAGUUACAGAUUUUAACAAGAAGUAAAACCACCACAUAAGAUCUGAGAUUACCAACAAACGUGGAUUAUUUUAUUUUACAAGGCCCAAUAAAGAUCACUGGUCUUUUGAAACAGUAGUUGCUUAAUAUUUUGACAAGGCUCUAUAUAAUUAGAAGCCAGAGAAGUAGCCAUAAACUGCUCAUAUGAUAUAUCAAAACUACCUGUAUAAGCACAGGGACGCUUAUGUUUUAGAGGAGAUGGGAAAAAUAAAUGUAGUGAGGUAGCAAAUGCUUUUUCUGUGUAGUGGAAGAAUCAUCUGAGACCUCAUUUUAUUUCUCUUGCAUUCAGCAGUUUAAUAUUUCAAGAAGGGGUCAUUCAAAGGUUCCAGUAUCCCGAAGACCUUCACUCAUUUGCUUAUUGGUAACAUUUCUGAAACAUUUUAAAAGGUUUAAAAAAAAUAUUCUCAGGAUGACAAAAAAGGAAUAAAAUCUCAUCUUUCUACUGUCAUAAAAAAACCCAAACAGAUAAAUACACAAAUGAAAUGCAAAAUCCCAGUAGUUCUACAAGGGCAUUUAUGUUUUCUUUUUAUGGCCUAGUUCAACUCUUGCACUAUUGGAGCUAGCUAUUGUAAAUGCCAUUCAUGUGAAAAACAUCAGAAAGAGCUGAGAAUGCACUACCUGUCUUUUAUUUCUGGGAUGUUUCCUGUUGAAAUGAAAUAAAUACUACAAGUAAAAUGCCCACUUGAGCCUUACCACUUUUGUAAACAUUCCUAAAUGACGUGCUAAGGAUUGUUUACACAAGCUGUGCCAGCUGCUUAAUGGUUAAAUACUUUACCUUUCUUCACACUGAAGCAGCAGGGAAGGAGGCAUAUAGGGGAGGAACAUGCAAUUAUGAGCAAUCUAAUUGAUCAUCCAAAGACCAUCUGGAAAAUCUGCCUGCCGAUGGACAAACUGCUGGUGGAGUGCGUUUAACACUUAACACCCAACACUAUGCUCUGUUCAAGCAAUUGACAGACUUAGGGGAAAACUAUCCGGCACCAGCUUGGCUUUCCCCACUGCUCAAACACAUGAACCUACCUUUUCAGAAUUGUUUCUUUACCUGAAGUAAGCUAAAUGUACUGACCAACUAUAUUUUGCAAUAAAUUACCCAGAUAAGCUAACUAAGCAUUUCAUACCUGCGUUGACUAUUCUUACUGCUUUUUAUGGAGUUGAAUCCUCUUAAAUCAUAUGUUAAUUAUAUUGUUGAGAUUUACAGUGUUGUUACAGUGGUAUUUUCAACUCAGAGAAUCUCAUUUUGGGAUUUUUAAUAAAAGUAGCUACUCAAUUACUUAUCAGGAAAUGGAAAUAUAUUUUCAUGUAUAUGAUUUUUUCCCUUAAAUGAGUCAUCUCAGCUUAGCCCACAACAUUAAGGUUUUCUUCCACAAAGUACUUAAACAGAAGUGUAUAUUUAAACAUGUGACCAGUGGUACAGUUUCAAAGAAUGGCUCAUGCUCCUACGCUUACAAAUGUUGAAAGGCCUUGUUGAAUCAGCAGCUUCAGCAAAAUUGGCAAAGUCACAUUUCUCUGGAUCACAUUUAGUUACUUUAUAUAUUUUUUUUUUUAAUUUUUUUUUUUAGAGCAUAGGUCUUAAAAACAGGAAAACCAGUGGGAAAAAUCCAUGAUUCAACUGGUAUUUAACAGAGAACAUAGUGAUUAUAGCCAAAUAUAGAGUCCUGUGAAACCAUGCCUGUUAGUAGAUAAUUACUCCCCAAAACAGAAGACGCACGCCUCACCAGGCACGUCGUGCAUUUUUAAACCUAUUUUUUUCAAACAUACAUUCAGCCUUACCUACAGCUUGCAUUACCAAGCAUACAUGAGUGUAGUAAAUACUCAGCCACCCAACACUGAUCACAAUAAAGCUAGAGUUUUAUUGAAAGAUAGUAAGGUACUGCUACACGAAAGAAUUUUCCAAUACAGUAGCACUGAAUGAAAGGAGAGUCAUGAAGCCUUUGGGAUAUAUAUUUUAUUUUUCCAUUGCAUUUGGUUCCUUUCAGAACGUAAACAAAGGGUUCACAGUGCUGUUUGGCUGUCUCCUGCUUCUUCAGGCAAACAGAUUUCUGUUUGCUUUAAUGUGACGUAUAUGCGUUCAUUGUUUUCACUAAGAAGAGGUUUGUGUUUUGACACAAACACUGCAGAGGAAUCUGCAAGGGAUCAAAAGGAGGGAGCCUUCAUAGUGCUGUAGGCAGGAUAUGAAGCAUUUCAUUCACUUCAGUGUUAACUUGACUGUUCUAGGCCAAAUCCUGACCAUGCUGAUGGUCAGUGGAUGGAAAAGUUCUGGCUUCCAGAGCCAGAAUUCAUCUUAGAAACUGACCAGGAUUCCUGUGUGGGGGUACACCCUUUCCAUUCCUGAUAUUAAAAUAGUGUGGCAUCAUUUUCAGUCCUGGCUAGAAUUACCUUGGAUGUGGUCCUGUGCGACCUGCAGGUGUUCAGCUUUGAAAAUUCUGUCUGCUCCUCCCAUGUGCAGCUACACAAAAUCUUAGAUGAAGCCCAGUUUCUUCCUUUCUUUCUUUCUUUCUUUCCAAAUGUCAGCAAAACCUUCUUAGGUCUCCCUUGAAAGACAGAAAAUUUCCAAAUUAAGCUGCAAACUAAAGAGAUAUAUUUCAUGAUCACUGGAAGGACUUAAGUGCUCUAAUUUUGACAGUGUUUGCAAAGAACUUUGCAUAUAGAUCAGUGGAUGAACAACUCAUCUCAUCCACUUUCAAACUGCAUGCAUUUGCCUUCUGCUGAUCUGUCCCCAUGACUACUGAAGGGGAGACUAGGCUGAUACUAGGCCGACUCAAGGGGACAAUCAAUCCUUCCCUUGGGCACAUUUUAAAUACUGAUGCUCAGAUGCCCAGGCAGGACUUGGUAUAAAAACAAGCAUCUUCCAGUGGCCAGGCCCAGGGUUCUCUCUGUUUUGAGAAAACACAAGUUAAUUUGCACACAGAUAAUUUGCUGUAUAUAGAGAAGCAUAAGUGCUUUGGCAUAGUUGUGUGGGGGACCUAAUCCAAGGACCAUUGCUGCUGAGUGGCCAGCAUAUCGUACCUUUUUGUGCCUUCCUAUGUUGGAGUUUCUGGUCUCUAAGUCCUCCUAUGAUCAUGAAAAUACACUUUAAAACUUAAGAAGAAAUGCCAAAAAUAUAUAAAUUUAUAAACUAAACCUAACCCACAAUAAAAAAAGUAGGUCCCAAACUAAUAAGUUGCAAAUACAGUGCUCUGUAUGUGUGGGAGGGACAGAUAAUUGAGGGCUGUGUUAUGAUUUUGAACCCGUGCUGGAUACUUGUGGUACAUUUUCUCUUUCAAAGAGUAUGUGAGAGGUGUCAGCCUUCCAAUAAAACACUAAAUAUUUUAAAACAACAACACCCCUCGUCUGGCGGCUGUAUUUCAAAGAACAAACAUCAGUCCAUUGUCUGGCUUCUGCCGUCAUCUUGUACAUGGAGAAAGCCAAAGACUCCAAAUAAUUUUGUGGCCUCGGGCAUCAACAAUAAACAAUGUAUAUUUGAUGUGUUGGCCUAAUUUCUGCCCAUUGAAUCUGCCAUUUUAAAUCUGUUUGCACGCUAUUUUUAUUUAUUUUUUACAUUCAAGGUCUUUGUAGGCCCUGUGAUCUUUCUCUGCACCUUUCUCAAGUGGUACAGUUUCAUAUUUAGGAUGAUACUCUGAGGAACAGACAAUCAAAAUACAAUUUUACACUAAAAGACCAGAACAUUGUAGAAAUGGUUUUUGCAGAAUUCUGCACUUUCAACCUGGUGAACAUGGCUAUUUGUACACUUUUUAAUUACAUUAGCAAAUGUUUGGUCCUGAAAGCAGGGGAAAGGAAAUAUAAUUAUACUGACAGAGGAGACAGAGAAUAUUUAUUGAUUACAGUUUCUAAAGUUCUGCUAGAUUUCUGCUAUGAAAAUUGUUGUCCUGAAGGGAGACUGUAAACCUAUUUUUGAAGAUCAGUAGGUCUUAAGAAGAGCUGUUAUACUUCAGAUAAUUGCUUUAUCCUUUUUCGUAUGAUAUAUAAGCUCUUCUAACACUCGUGGUACCAACAUUUGUUUGUGACUUCUAUUGCACUCAGAGUAGCCAUUGAUUCAGAUGACAGAUCUGCUCUUUGGUCUCUGCAAAGCUGUAUUUUCAGAAGACUAAAUUACUCCUUUUUCCUCCCCAUUCCUCUGAGCUCCUCUCCCUGGGGCUUCACUUUGCAACUCAGACUCAACACAACCAAAGAACCAACUCUUCUCAGAAGAAAGAGUAAUAUGCAGUCUAAAGCAGCAUUAAGUAUACCAUAGUAAUUUAUUAAUGGAAAAAAAGGUUGUGAUUAACAUACAGGGAAUAUUUCAGUGCUGAACCUUGGUAAAGGUAUGACAGGUAUGAAAUUCUCAGCAGUGGCAAUUAAAAAGCUUUAAUACACAAAGAAAACUGUUGAAUGUGAUUUUGUAUUUUAUUUACAAGCUGUGGCAAGUGCCACAUAGUCGAGGCUUCAUCCUCAGAUUAUGUACCUACAUGUACAUUAGAGUAGCUGGCCACAUAAGUGUGCAAGUCAUAAAAUCUAAAAUGCUUAGAAGGAAGUAGCUGAGCCACUACAGUAGGAAAUGCCACUAGGGCUACACUGAGGAGGUAAAAUUUCCAGCUAGAAGGAAGAUAAGGG